rnacentral:rRNA from 1 species
GAUGAACGCUAGCUACAGGCUUAACACAUGCAAGUCGAGGGGAAACGACAUCGAAAGCUUGCUUCCGAUGGGCGUCGACCGGCGCACGGGUGAGUAACGCGUAUCCAACCUGCCCACCACUUGGGGAUAACCUUGCGAAAGUAAGACUAAUACCCAAUGAUAUCUCUAGAAGACAUCUAAAAGAGAUUAAAGAUUUAUCGGUGAUGGAUGGGGAUGCGUCUGAUUAGCUUGUUGGCGGGGUAACGGCCCACCAAGGCGACGAUCAGUAGGGGUUCUGAGAGGAAGGUCCCCCACAUUGGAACUGAGACACGGUCCAAACUCCUACGGGAGGCAGCAGUGAAGAAUAUUGGUCAAUGGACGAGAGUCUGAACCAGCCGAGUAGCGUGCAGGAAGACGGCCCUAUGGGUUGUAAGCUGCUUUUAUAAGGGAAUAAAGUGAGUCUCGUGAGACUUUUUGCAUGUACCUUAUGAAUAAGGACCGGCUAAUUCCGUGCCAGCCGCCGCGGUAA